rnacentral:misc_RNA from 1 species
UACAGAGGGUGCAAGCGUUGUUCGGAAUUACUGGGCGUAAAGCGCGUGUAGGCGGUUUGAUAAGUCAGAUGUGAAAGCCCUCGGCUUAACCGAGGAACUGCAUUUGAAACUACCGAACUAGAGUAUCGGAGGGGGUGGCGGAAUUCCCGGUGUAGAGGUGAAAUUCGUAGAUAUCGGGAGGAACACCUGUGGCGAAGGCGGCCACCUGGAAGAUAACUGACGCUGAGACGCGAAAGCGUGGGGAGCAAACAGG